rnacentral:rRNA from 1 species
AUUGAACGCUGUCGGCCGGCCUAACACAUGCAAGUCGAACGAGUGGCGGACGGUUGAGUAAUGUCUGGGAAACUGCCUGAUGGAUGGGUAUAACUACUUGAAACGGUAGCUAAUACCGCAUACCAUCGGAUGUGCCCAGAUGGGAUUAGCUCGUAGGUGGGGUAACGGCUCACCUAGGCGACGAUCCCUAGCUGGUCUGAGAGGAUGACCAGCCACACUGGAACUGAGACACGGUCCAGACUCGUACGGGAGGCAGCAGUGGGGAAUAUUGCACAAUGGGCGCAAGCCUGAUGCAGCCAUGCCGCGGGGAUGAAGAAGGCCUGCGGGUUGUAAAGUACUUGCAGCGGGGAGGCGUUACCCGCAGAAGAAGCACCGGCUAACUCCGUGCCAGCAGCCGCGGUAAUUC